AGCGAACGCUGGCGGCAGGCUUAACACAUGCAAGUCGAGCGGGCCCUUCGGGGUCAGCGGCAGACGGGUGAGUAACACGUGGGAACGUGCCCUUCGGUUCGGAAUAACUCAGGGAAACUUGAGCUAAUACCGGAUACGCCCUUUUGGGGAAAGGCUUGCUGCCGAAGGAUCGGCCCGCGUCUGAUUAGCUAGUUGGUGGGGUAACGGCCUACCAAGGCGACGAUCAGUAGCUGGUCUGAGAGGAUGAUCAGCCACACUGGGACUGAGACACGGCCCAGACUCCUACGGGAGGCAGCAGUGGGGAAUAUUGGACAAUGGGCGCAAGCCUGAUCCAGCCAUGCCGCGUGAGUGAUGAAGGCCUUAGGGUUGUAAAGCUCUUUUGUCCGGGACGAUAAUGACGGUACCGGAAGAAUAAGCCCCGGCUAACUUCGUGCCAGCAGCCGCCGUAA
rnacentral:rRNA from 1 species